CCAGCAUCUUGAUCAAACCAUGAACCAUUAGAUAUGUGUGGUAACCCGGCCCAAUUGAACCCAAAACCAGCCCACAAAGCCCAAACACAAAAAAAAAACAAAAACAAAAGAAAAUAGAGGAGAACCCAAUCGGAGUCUUCUUCCUCCUCUCACCGGCUCCCAAUCGGAGUCGGAAAGAGCCCCCCUCCGGCUCUAUUUAAGGAGGAGAACCCUCCUCUCUCCCUCUCACCA
rnacentral:lncRNA from 1 species